rnacentral:rRNA from 1 species
AUACGGAGGGUCCAAGCGUUAUCCGGAUUCAUUGGGUUUAAAGGGUCCGCAGGCGGGAAAAUAAGUCAGUGGUGAAAGCCUACAGCUCAACUGUAGAACUGCCAUUGAUACUGUUUUUCUUGAGUAUAGAUGAAGUGGGCGGAAUAUAUCAUGUAGCGGUGAAAUGCAUAGAUAUGAUAUAGAACACCGAUUGCGAAGGCAGCUCACUAAACUAUUACUGACGCUCAGGGGCGAAAGCGUGGGGAGCGAACAGGAUUAGAAACCCCAGUAGUCC